rnacentral:tRNA from 1 species
AGGGAAAUAGCUCAGUGGUAGAGCUCAUGCUUAGCAUGCAUGAGGUUCUGGGUUCAAUCCCCAGUACCACCA